rnacentral:rRNA from 1 species
AGAGUUUGAUCAUGGCUCAGGACGAACGCUGGCGGCGUGGAUUAGGCAUGCAAGUCGAACGGUAUGGACCUUUCGGGGUUCAGAGAGUGGCGAACGGGUGAGUAACACGUAGGUUAUCUACCCUCAAAACGGGGACAACCCAGGGAAACUUGGGCUAAUACCGGAUGUGUGCAGAGCUUGUUUUUGCUGUUUGAGAUAAUCACGGAAGUGGUUAUUGAGGGCAAGUGAGAGCGGGUUUUGCAUAAAAGGUGGCGUAAGCUGCCGUUUGAGGAUGAGCCUGCGUCCUAUUAGUUAGUUGGUGAGGUAAUGGCUUACCAAGGCGAUGAUAGGUAGGCGGCCUUAACGGGUGGUCGCCCACACUGGGAUUGAGAUACGGCCCAGACUCCUACGGGAGGCAGCAGUCGAGAAUAGUCUACAAUGGACGAAAGUCUGAUAGUGCGACGCCGCGUGAACGAAGAAGCCCUUCGGGGUGUAAAGUUCUUUUAUAUGUGAGUAGUGCCCUUUAUAUGAAUAGUAUAAAGGGAGGGAAUUAAGCAUAAGAAUAAGCAACGGCUAACUCCGUGCCAGCAGCCGCGGUAACACGGGGGUUGCAAGCGUUGUCCGGAAUUACUAGGCGUAAAGUGCAGGUAGGCGGAUAGAUAAGUUUAAGGUUAAAGGCUACGGCUUACCCGUAGUAAGGCAUUAGAUACUGUUUAUCUGGAAUGCGGUUGAGGGAGACAGAAUUCCUGGUGUAGCGGUGGAAUGCGCAGAGAUCAGGGAGGAAUACCGAAGGCGAAGGCAGUCUUCUAAGCCGAAAUUGACGCUAAACUGCGAAGGUGUGGGGAUCAAACAGGAUUAGAUACCCUGGUAGUCCACACAGUAAACGAUAAUCACUAGGUGUUGGUUCUUAAGAGACUCGGUGCCGGAGCUAACGCGAUAAGUGAUUCGCCUGGGAGUACGAUCGCAGGGUUGAAACUCAAAGGAAUUGACGG